AUACGUAGGGUGCGAGCGUUGUCCGGAAUGAUUGGGCGUAAAGGGCGCGUAGGCGGCUUUGCAAGUCAGUAGUGGAAGUCCAUUUUUCAAGGAUGGAAGUGCUACAGAAACUGCGGAGCUUGAGUGCAGGAGAGGUUAUCGGAAUUCCCGGUGUAGCGGUGAAAUGCGUAGAGAUCGGGAGGAACACCAGUGGCGAAGGCGGGUAACUGGACUGCAACUGACGCUGAGGCGCAAAAGUGUGGGGAGCAAACAGGAUUAGAUACCCUGGUAGUCCACACUGUAAACGAUGAAUGCUAGGUGUAGGAGGUAUCGACCCCUUCUGUGCCGCAGUAAACACAGUAAGCAUUCCGCCUGGGGAGUACGGUCGCAAGAUUAAAACUCAAAUGAAUUGACGGGG
rnacentral:rRNA from 1 species